UUCUCCUACUCCAACAGCACAGUUACAUUGGAUUCUUUCUAAUGAGUUGGGCAGUAUAAGGAAACGCCUGGAUACAUGGAGAUUUAUUUUCCAUACAGUAUUGGGCUGCAGGGGGAAGGUCAUAAUUGGAAAGACUCGCCAUAAAACUACUGCCACAGAACACAGAGACGGGGACCCAGCCCCACAGCAGCUCCCGCCCACGGUCCCACAUAAAGGCAAAAGCUUCCUCCAGGACCCUAUGGCUGUCACCAUAAUGUGAGGGAAUCUGGCAUAGCGUGGGCUGAGCUGUAGACAGGAAACCUGGUCUCAGUGCAACUGAGUCCGGCUCACUGAGUCUCAGUGCAACGGGAGUCCCAUCCUCCAGAGAGCAGAGGGACUGAGGGCUCCCGCGAGUUCCAGUGUGCCAGCAGUGUCGGGGAGAACCGCCCACCUCGCAGACCCGCCUCACGCUCACCAUGUCUCCGCCGGGGGCCUCCUGCGGCCUCACGGCUCCUGGGGUAGAAGCUCUCCUUGCUACCGAGGCUGAGACCCACAAGACUUCCUCAGCUGACAGGACCUCUGCGCUACUAUGGCCGCGCCAGAAAGAAAGAUGGCGGGUAAAGAACUUCCGCCCCGCCCACCAGCACUCAUGAACUGACAGUUCCCACAAACUUAGGGACAUCUUAUACCUGCUUUCUAGGUUUCUAGCUGGCCUGAGGCCUGCUUCUGGUUGACCAUUAGAACUAAAUGGUAGGACUCUAAUGCUGACGACAACACACCAUUUGGUUGCAAAAACCAACCAACCAACCAACCAACCAACCAACCAAACCCCAGAAAAAAAUCAAGCCAGAACUUAGCAGCUGAGAGCAAAGUGUCCUAGCCAGUUGUGAAUCCCGUAAUUUACAACAUCGACUGGUCAGUCAAGAUGUGUCCUUGGUGUAAGAGUGGAAUGGAAGAUUAGUGAUGCUGUCAGAGAAGAUUACUGCUGGCCAGACAAGCUUCUGUUUGCAGUGGGUGAUGUUUAAUACAGACACUUCUAAGUGGUCUACAUACUGAGAAUAAGUGACUCUUGAAUGCUCACCCCUUAACAGGAUGUCUGUGUCACCCAUCCAAGGCUUGGAGAGCAUCACGAAAGGAUAGAAAGAAUACAAGUAUUGGAGGAUGGGAAGUAAUAUUGUGAAUACUGUCUUCUGGACAUGAUACAGCUUUUGAGCUCAUGAACUCACAGCAGUGUAGUUAUCUGCACAAGACUUGCAGAAAAUGGGGCCUCUCAACAUUCCAGAAUUAGGCCCCACCCUUCUAGAGGAACUAUGAGGAAUUAAUGGCUUGCUGGGGAAGAAAGAGUCAUCGUCUUCUGAGACAUUGCCCAUGCUUCAGAAAAUAACUCUCACCCAUGUACAUUCAAGUAACCAUAAUUAAGGUCAUAAGGUCACAAACAAACACAAAAAAUAAAACAAAGUUGGAGUGGAACUUGCUGAAACCAGGGUUCAGCAAAAGUGGGAUGGGGAUGACCUAAUGGUGGGUGAAAAAGAUUAAAAUAUACAAAAAUGAAUUUGUAAAAAAUAUAAAUAAGAAAAAAAGAAAAUAAAGAAAUAGUAGUGGCCAGCAUCUGAAGGAGAUAUGUCCUAAGACCUGUAGUGGAACAUGAAAACAGUGGCUAGUAGUUAGCCUAAUAUAUGUUUUUUUCUACUUAUACAUACAAGAAACUUUAAUUUGCUAACUAGGCACAAGAAGAGAUUUACAACAAUAUAUAAUAGGGAAACAGAACUAUAGCAGUUUCUUUCUGUUUCAAUAUGUCACAGUACAGUGCAUUCAUCUUUCUUCUUGGGCUGAUAUGAUGUCACAUAGCUGCUAUAUAAUGAGAUUAUAUGAGGCGAAUGUUGGACUAGCAUUACUGUAUACUUCAUGACAUUACUCAGAACUACCCACAACUUAAAAGUUAUUAAUAUUUACCUCUAGAAAUUUUCAUUUAAUGUUUUCAGAUACCAGUUGGACUGAAACUGCAGAAUCUAUAUUGCAAGCAAGGAAAUAUUAAAAGAAAGUUAGCUGAACUUGCUGGCCAUACUGGGACAGUUUGACCAGAAGAUACUGGCCAUGCUCGAAGCCCACAAAACUUGGAUAGACUUGUUGGAAACCCUUUGGGAGGUGAAGCAAAUGCUUUAGUUGUCAUGCAUUGAGCAAAUAUCCUUGUGUCUGCCACAGAACUGUGUUGCAUGGCUGCAUGCUGGUGGCUCUACAUCUCUGGGUUAUCAGUGGUGAUCAUUCUUCCACGGACCACCCAUGCACUGUACUGUUGAAGACUGCAACAGCUUCAACUCUACAAGUUGCCUGGGCCUUAGGAAUGGGAGUCUCUCUGAUAGCUCUGCUCCUACCAUACAAUUUUGCCUUGGCCUUAGGAACGCUGGAGAGAUUUCUUGGAAUAUACAUGGAGAAGUCUACCCUUUUCUCCAGCUUCUACACUGUGGAGACCUGGAGUAUUAGAAACAUAUAGUUUGAGAGUUGUUUGUGAUUUCUCAUCAGUAGACAGAAGGUAAGCACUGACUCAAGUACAGCAGGAAGAAACAGACUUAUGGUUGCCUUAGUCUCAAGGUUAGCUGGUAUCGUUAACCCCUGCCCCCCAUAUUAAAUUUUUCUGCAUCAAGGGCAUGACAUCCCUAUAAUCUCAGCACUCAGAAGGCUGAAGCAGUACUACUUUUUUGUGGCCCGCCUGGGUUAUAUGAGAUACUGCCGUAAAAUAAAACAAACAAACAAACAAACAAACAAAAACAC